AGAGUUUGAUCAUGGCUCAGAUUGAACGCUGGCGGCAUGCCUAACACAUGCAAGUCGAACGGCAGCAUGCCCUGUGGCAACACAGGGUGAUGGCGAGUGGCGGACGGGUGAGUAACGCGUAGGAAUCUGCCCUAAAGUGGGGGAUAACUCAGCGAAAGCUGAGCUAAUACCGCAUAAUCUCUACGGAGUAAAGCAGGGGAUCUUCGGACCUUGUGCUUUAGGAUGAGCCUGCGUCAGAUUAGCUAGUUGGUAGGGUAAAGGCCUACCAAGGCAACGAUCUGUAAUUGGUCUGAGAGGACGACCAGUCACAUUGGGACUGAGACACGGCCCAAACUCCUACGGGAGGCAGCAGUGGGGAAUAUUGGACAAUGGGGGAAACCCUGAUCCAGCGAUGCCGCGUGUGUGAAGAAGGCCUGCGGGUUGUAAAGCACUUUCGGUGGGGAAGAAAGGCUCAAGGCUAAUAUCCUUGAGAGUUGACGUUACCCAUAGAAGAAGCACCGGCUAACUCUGUGCCAGCAGCCGCGGUAAUACAGAGGGUGCAAGCGUUAAUCGGAGUUAUUGGGCGUAAAGCGUGCGUAGGCGGAUGUCUAAGUCGGAUGUGAAAUCCCCGGGCUUAACCUGGGAAUUGCAUUCGAUACUGGAUGUCUAGAGUAUGGUAGAGGAAAGUGGAAUUUCCGGUGUAGCGGUGUAAUGCGUAGAUAUCGGAAAGAACAUCGGUGGCGAAGGCGACUUUCUGGACCAAUACUGACGCUGAGGUACGAAAGCGUGGGGAGCAAACAGGAUUAGAGACCCUGGUAGUCCACGCUGUAAACGAUGAGAACUAGAUGUUGGUCCCUUUAGGGGAUUAGUAUCGAAGCUAACGCGUUAAGUUCUCCGCCUGGGGAGUACGGUCGCAAGAUUAAAACUCAAAUGAAUUGACGG
rnacentral:rRNA from 1 species